UGUGCUUCGAUGGCUUUGGUUAUUGCUCAAGUCAAACACAAUCAAAGCGACUUUAAACAAAAUAUGCGCAAGACCAUAAUUAAAUGCUGAAUGGCUGAAUGUUAUGGAUGUUGUGAUAAUUAGCGACAGCUAUAUGGUUUAUUCGCAUAUUUUAUUCAGGCUAGCAGCUUCUAGUAGCUCCCCUCCUGCUAAAAUGGAUUUUCCACUUUCUAUAAGAAACACUGCAGAGAUGGAAAGGUUUUAGUCCCCUGUUAGGGGACAGCUGAAAGAAUGUUCUGCUGCCUUUGUGAAGUGUGAAUUGGGGUGAAGGUAACCAUGUACAUUCCGUGGAGUUCACAAUGAGACCACAGGGCCCUGUGAUCCAUAUUCCAGUGUGUUCCACUCUCUCUCUCCCUGUGGAGGAAGAUAGCUCCCCUUGUCCAGCAUAGAGCAAGUAGUGUGGAAAGGACAAGUGUUGGGAACCAUGUAACCAAAUAUCCUCUCAGCUUCCCAGAGAGCUGACCUUCAGCUGGGAGUGAAACAGAACAUGACCGGUGCAAAAUGAAGAGGAAAGGAGAAAGAAGGAGACAUGCAGUGGAAGGAUGGAAUAGCUUGCUCAGAUGACUUUUGUGGACUUGUCCAUUUUUCAAUUAAAAUGCCUCUGGUAAUAUUAUCCUUAAGUAAUCUGGGACUUUUUGCAAAGAAUGGCCAGUGGUUCUGUGGUAUUUUUAUGCAUUGGCUGCACAUGGAGUAAUUAGAGUAAUUGUAUGAAAAUAUGUAACACUUACCCAUUUCAUCAUAGAUAAGUGAGCUGACUAUCUCAGCAGGCAGUGAUUUCUCCAUAUAAUCAUUGACCUUUCUACAACUAUGCAAUUAGACAUUACAAACACUUCUUAUGGGGUCUAUCUGCCCAUGCAUCCAUUAAAGACAAUGAGAAUGA